AGUCGUAACAAGGUAACCGUAGAAGUCUUGAUUCGAUAACAUUUGAGUGAGUGGCGGACGGGUGAGUAACACGUGGGUAACCUGCCCUAAAGUGGGGGAUAACAUUUGGAAACAGAUGCUAUACCGCAUAAAACCUAGCACCGCAUGGUGCAAGGUUGAAAGAUGGUUUCGGCUAUCACUUUAGGAUGGACCCGCGGUGCAUUAGUUAGUUGGUGAGGUAAAGGCUCACCAAGACCGUGAUGCAUAGCCGACCUGAGAGGGUAAUCGGCCACACUGGGACUGAGACACGGCCCAGACUCCUACGGGAGGCAGCAGUAGGGAAUCUUCCACAAUGGACGAAAGUCUGAUGGAGCAACGCCGCGUGAGUGAAGAAGGUUUUCGGAUCGUAAAACUCUGUUGUUGGAGAAGAACGUAUUUGAUAGUAACUGAUCAGGUAGUGACGGUAUCCAACCAGAAAGCCACGGCUAACUACGUGCCAGCAGCCGCGGUAAUACGUAGGUGGCAAGCGUUGUCCGGAUUUAUUGGGCGUAAAGCGAGCGCAGGCGGUUUCUUAAGUCUGAUGUGAAAGCCUUCGGCUCAACCGAAGAAGUGCAUCGGAAACUGGGAAACUUGAGUGCAGAAGAGGACAGUGGAACUCCAUGUGUAGCGGUGAAAUGCGUAGAUAUAUGGAAGAACACCAGUGGCGAAGGCGGCUGUCUGGUCUGUAACUGACGCUGAGGCUCGAAAGCAUGGGUAGCAAACAGGAUUAGAUACCCUGGUAGUCCAUGCCGUAAACGAUGAGUGCUAGGUGUUGGAGGGUUUCCGCCCUUCAGUGCCGCAGCUAACGCAUUAAGCACUCCGCCUGGGGAGUACGACCGCAAGGUUGAAACUCAAAGGAAUUGACGGGGGCCCGC
rnacentral:rRNA from 1 species